rnacentral:rRNA from 1 species
UCCGAAGGUGGCAAGCGUUGUUCGGAUUUACUGGGCGUACAGGGAGCGUAGGCGGUUCGGUAAGCCCUCUGUGAAAUCUCCAGGCUUAACCUGGAACAGUCGGAGGGGACUGCCGGGCUAGAGGACGGGAGAGGAGCGCGGAAUUCCCGGUGUAGCGGUGAAAUGCGCAGAGAUCGGGAGGAAGGCCGGUGGCGAAGGCGGCGCUCUGGAACGUUUCUGACGCUGAGGCUCGAAAGCGUGGGGAGAAAACAGG